CAUUUUUAAAACUUCUAUUUUACUUUUUUUAAAAAAAAAAUAAAUUUUUCUUCUAUUUAAAUAUAAAUUUAUAAAUAAGAAUAUAAAGAAAGUUUUUAAUUUUUUAAUAUAAACUAUAUUUAAAUU
rnacentral:rRNA from 1 species